rnacentral:rRNA from 1 species
UGGUGGGGCGAUUUGUCUGGUCAAUUCCGAUAACGAACGAGAAUCUAGCCUACUAAAUGGUUCGUGGACCCACACAAAGGGGCCCGCUUAAACUUCUUGGAGGAACAGGCGGCGUUUAGCCACACGAGAUUGAGCAAUAACA